AAACUCAAAUGAAUUGACGGGGGCCCGCACAAGCGGUGGAGCAUGUGGUUUAAUUCGACGCAACGCGCAGAACCUUACCAGCCCUUGACAUCCCGGUCGCGGUUUCCAGAGAUGGAAUCCUUCAGUUCGGCUGGACCGGUGACAGGUGCUGCAUGGCUGUCGUCAGCUCGUGUCGUGAGAUGUUGGGUUAAGUCCCGCAACGAGCGCAACCCCCGUCCUUAGUUGCUACCAUUUAGUUGAGCACUCUAAGGAGACUGCCGGUGAUAAGCCGCGAGGAAGGUGGGGAUGACGUCAAGUCCUCAUGGCCCUUACGGGCUGGGCUACACACGUGCUACAAUGGCGGUGACAAUGGGAUGCAAAGGGCGACCCCUCGCAAAUCUCAAAAGCCGUCUCAGUUCGGAUUGGGCUCUGCAACUCGAGCCCAUGAAGUUGGAAUCGCUAGUAAUCGUGG
rnacentral:rRNA from 1 species